CGCCUGGGGAGUACGGCCGCAAGGUUAAAACUCAAAUGAAUUGACGGGGGCCCGCACAAGCGGUGGAGCAUAUGGUUUAAUUCGACGCAACGCGAAGAACCUUACCUGGCCUUGACAUCCAGAGAGCUUUCCAGAGAUGGAUUGGUGCCUUCGGGAACUCUGAGACAGGUGCUGCAUGGCCGUCGUCAGCUCGUGUCGUGAGAUGUUGGGUUAAGUCCCGUAACGAGCGCAACCCCUAUCCCUGGUUGCUAGCAGGUAAUGCUGAGAACUCCAGGGAGACUGCCGGUGACAAACCGGAGGAAGGUGGGGAUGACGUCAGGUCAUCAUGGCCCUUACGGCCAGGGCUACACACGUGCUACAAUGGCGCGUACAGAGGGCUGCCAACUCGCGAGAGUGAGCCAAUCCCUUAAAACGCGUCGUAGUCCGGAUCGGAGUCUGCAACUCGACUCCGUGAAGUCGGAAUCGCUAGUAAUCGCGAAUCAGAAUGUCGCGGUGAAUACGUUCCCGGGCCUUGUACACACCGCCCGUCACACCAUGGGAGUGGAUUGCACCAGAAGUAGUUAGUCUAACCUUCGGGAGGACGAUUACCACGGUGUGGUUCAUGACUGGGGUGAAGUCGUAACAAGGUAACCGUA
rnacentral:rRNA from 1 species